UGGGGAAUAUUGGGCAAUGGGGGAAACCCUGACCCAGCAACGCCGCGUGAAGGAAGAAGGUUUUCGGAUCGUAAACUUCUAUCCUUGGUGAAGAUAAUGACGGUAGCCAAGAAGGAAGCCCCGGCUAACUACGUGCCAGCAGCCGCGGUAAUACGUAGGGGGCAAGCGUUGUCCGGAAUGAUUGGGCGUAAAGGGCGCGUAGGCGGCCUGGUAAGUCUGGAGUGAAAGUCCUGCUUUUAAGGUGGGAAUUGCUUUGGAUACUGUCGGGCUUGAGUGCAGGAGAGGUAAGCGGAAUUCCCGGUGUAGCGGUGAAAUGCGUAGAGAUCGGGAGGAACACCAGUGGCGAAGGCGGCUUACUGGACUGUAACUGACGCUGAGGCGCGAAAGUGUGGGGAGCAAACAG
rnacentral:rRNA from 1 species